GACAGCUUCGCAAUUCGUUGUGGUUCAGCAACUCAGAAGCAAUUCAUAACUUCUAAAAGAAACAUCCAAUCGACAUCGUAGGCUAAGAAUUUUUUUUCUGGAACAUACAAGAAUCAAGAUUUAUUUGUUUCAUCCACACUCUUCUACCAGAAAUGGAUGAUCUGAUGACAAGCUCCCACCAGGGAGCUGCACCAAAUAUUGAUAUUUUUUGCUGGCUCUGGCCAGGAUCACGUCAUCCC